rnacentral:rRNA from 1 species
CCUACGGGUGGCAGCAGUGGGGAAUAUUGGGCAAUGGGCGCAAGCCUGACCCAGCAACGCCGCGUGAAGGAAGAAGGCCCUCCGGUUGUUAACCUUCUUUUACAGGGGAGAGUAGAAGACGGUACCUGUCGAAUAAGCCACGGCUAACUACGUGCCAGCAGCCGCGGUAAUACGUAGGUGGCAAGCGUUGUCCGGAUUUACUGGGUGUAAAGGGCGUGUAGCCGGGUUGACAAGUCAGAUGUGAAAUCUUGCGGCUUAACCGCAGAACUGCAUUUGAAACUGUUGAUCUUGAGUACUGGAGAGGUAGACGGAAUUCGUGGUGUAGCGGUGAAAUGCGUAGAUAUUACGAAGAACUCCAGUGGCGAAGGCGGUCUACUGGACAGCAACUGACGGUGAGGCGCGAAAGCGUGGGGAGCAAACAGGAUUAGAUACCCGUGUAGUC